rnacentral:rRNA from 1 species
GACGAACGCUGGCGGCGUGCUUAACACAUGCAAGUCGAACGGAAAGGCCCCCUUGUGGGGUACUCGAGUGGCGAACGGGUGAGUAACACGUGAGUAACCUACCCUUGACUUUGGGAUAACUUCAGGAAACUGGGGCUAAAACCGGAUAGGAGCUCCUGCUGCAUGGUGGGGGUUGGAAAGUUUCGGCGGUUGGGGAUGGACUCGCGGCUUAUCAGCUUGUUGGUGGGGUAGUGGCUCACCAAGGCUUUGACGGGUAGCCGGCCUGAGAGGGUGACCGGCCACAUUGGGACUGAGAUACGGCCCAGACUCCUACGGGAGGCAGCAGUGGGGAAUAUUGCACAAUGGGCGGAAGCCUGAUGCAGCAACGCCGCGUGCGGGAUGACGGCCUUCGGGUUGUAAACCGCUUUCGCCUGUGACGAAGCGUGAGUGACGGUAAUGGGUAAAGAAGCACCGGCUAACUACGUG